GCGAGAUUGAACAAGGAACCGUGUGUGAUGUUGACUAUCGUGGAGUCUGUUGUGGUCGCCCGGAUGCCUAUCUCCAGCCUGUUAUCAGGUGUCAACUUGAAUCUCACCGUGCACAAAACUGCACCAGGAUAUCCUUCUUCGCCGUCUUCGCUCAAGUACGAAAUAGGAUUCAGGGGGCCGAUAAUACUCUGGCGGAACGACGGAAUACACCGGGGGUCCGUAAUCCGGGAACGGGGCGACGUUGCCCAUGUAUAUCGUCGGCACCCUCUCCAUCCGAGGAUCGACGCGAGGCGCCUCGUGCGAAUACGCGUCCUCGUUGCUGGUGCUGCUGCUGCUCUUCCUCCUCGGACUCGGCGUCGGUGCGUUGGAGCCCGUUAUACUGCUCGUGUAAUGCUGCGGUGAGUCUGUGAAGCGCAGAGGCUUAUCCGGCGGCAUCCCCGUGGCUGGAAGACCAGGCGCUAUGCCACCCAUAUUGCUUAGGAACGGUCUGCGAGGAAGAUUACUCGGCGGAUUACCUGUAAUGGUGUGCCCGUCCGUGAUAAGUGUUGUGUGCAUAGCCGCUGCUGGAGCUGAACUCGUAAUCGGCGCCGAGGUAGGAGUUGCGAUUCGAUCCUCCGUCCGCCAGGAACCACCAUUUAGACGCCUGCUCCUCGCCGUCGCAUUCGCCGCCCAGUCUGGGAUAUAGCCGGGGAUGGAUCGGGGAUACAUUCGACAUCCUGACAUCGUAACCGGCCGCCACGCCGGCCAGCAUCGCCGCGAUGUCGUACAGGACCAGCUCGAUUAUGCUCAGCCUCGACCUCUUCGUCUCGCCGUUGUACAGAGUCGGCAUCGGGACUGGCAUCGGCAUGAUGUACGGCCCGGUCAGCCCGGGCUUCAGAGGGUAAUCCGACGUUAUCCAAUCGGUCGACAGAUCGGGCGGUAAUGCUGUAUAAUCUACAAAAGAUAGUCAGGUUGUUUCUUUUCUCUGGGGAGAAGAAGAUUCAUUUCGCAUUUUUAUAUAUAACACUCCCGUCAUCUGUACACGACGAUAAUUCACGGAUCCAUUGUUUUAUUUACGAAACAUAACGCGUAGCAACCGUACGUCACUUUCGCGUUGAAUGAUGUUAUUGAACGUCAAAAUGACGUCAGUUUGCUACUUGGGUUUGCUCAUUUCUCCGAUUGGAAUUCGAUAGAAAUUCCCUCUUACCUUGCCCACGUGCGAUUAAUAAAUUAUCUUAAUCGAUUUUGCUUUUAAAGUACUUUUUUAAUGAAGUAGUGCGACAGAAGAAUAGCUUGCAAUUCGCGCGCUUAGUUGUUUUAUUACAUGGUCGUUAUUAUUCAUGCACACAGACAAGCAGUUAUAUCGUGUCAGAGGAUAUUAACUGGUUAUCUUUACGUGUCAGUUAUUUCUAAUACUACGGUCUCUAGAACAAACACCCAUUAUUAAAAGAUGUACAGCCAUUUAACUACAAUAUUAAGGACAUACUUUAAAAAUCGGCUAAGGCAGCAAAAUGUACAAAAAAUAAUCAGAUUACAAUAAAAUAUAUCUCUUUAAGAAG